UACGAAGGGGGCUAGCGUUGUUCGGAUUUACUGGGCGUAAAGCGCACGUAGGCGGACAUUUAAGUCAGGGGUGAAAUCCCGGGGCUCAACCUCGGAACUGCCUUUGAUACUGGGUGUCUUGAGUGUGGAAGAGGUCAGUGGAAUUGCGAGUGUAGAGGUGAAAUUCGUAGAUAUUCGCAGGAACACCAGUGGCGAAGGCGGCUGACUGGUCCACAACUGACGCUGAGGUGCGAAAGCGUGGGGAGCAAACAGG
rnacentral:rRNA from 1 species